UACGAAGGGGGCUAGCGUUGUUCGGAUUUACUGGGCGUAAAGCGCACGUAGGCGGAUCGUUAAGUCAGGGGUGAAAUCCUGGAGCUCAACUCCAGAACUGCCUUUGAUACUGAGGAUCUUGAGUUCGGGAGAGGUGAGUGGAACUGCGAGUGUAGAGGUGAAAUUCGUAGAUAUUCGCAAGAACACCAGUGGCGAAGGCGGCUCACUGGUCCGGUACUGACGCUGAGGUGCGAAAGCGUGGGGAGCAAACAGGG
rnacentral:rRNA from 1 species